rnacentral:rRNA from 1 species
CCUACGGGGGGCAGCAGUAGGGAAUAUUGCUCAAUGGGGGAAACCCUGAAGCAGCAACGCCGCGUGGGGGAUGAAGGCCUUCGGAGUGUAAACCCCUUUUUUUAGAGAAGAUAAUGACGGUAUCUAACGAAUAAGCACCGGCCAACUCCGUGCCAGCAGGCGCGGUAAUACGGAGGGUGCAAGCGUUAUUCGGAAUCACUGGGCGUAAAGGGCGCGUAGGCGGGAUAGCAAGUCAGAUGUGAAAUCGUUGGGUUUAACCAUAGAACUGCAUUUGAGACUGUUAUUCUAGAGUAUGGGAGAGGUAGGUGGAAUUCGUGGUGUAGGGGUGAAAUGCGUAGAGAUCAAGAGGAAUACCGAUUGCGAAGGCGGCCUGCUAGACCAUGACUGACGCUGAUGCGCGAAAGCGUGGGGAGCAAACAGGAUUAGAUACCCGGGUAGUC